UGAUACCAGGGUCAAAAGGUCUAAAAUCCGAUGAGGGCUUGCAUGAAGGAGGAUUAUUGAACUUGGGACCCGCCUAAAACAUGAGUAAGGAGCCAUUUUUUGAAGAUAAAUGAGCGGAUUACGAAUGUUUUAAGAAUUGCGGGAGUUGCAAAGCACGUAGCAAUUCGGUAUCA
rnacentral:sRNA from 10 species